AUACAAUUACAUAAGUUUAAUUGUCAUUGGUUGAAAUGUUUGUGGCAUGGAUCAAUGACAUGGCACACAUCCAUCCAUCCAUCCAUCCAUCCACAUCCACCAACCGCGAAACCUAAUUUGUGUGGCGCUCGAUGCGCACAGAGAGAGGGAGAGGUUCCUCCGUCCCCUUCCAGAUAUCCGCCGCCACCUCCCUCCCACCUCCUGGAUCUCUCCAUCUCCAUCAGCUCCACCCGCGCGAUCCCAUCUGCCACCCGGGCUUGCACAGCCUGCGCUCCCUGUUGCGCUCCCUGCUGGCCCUCCUCCCGAGGUGGAGAUGGCCGCCGGCGGAGGUGGAGAUGGCCGACGGCGGCGAGGUCGUCCACACGCCCCACUCGGCGCCGCCUACGGUGCCGUCGGCGCAGGUGUCGAUCUGGGAGUCGGUGCGCGCGUGCGGGGUGUGGGGGCGGGAGGUCGACAAGGCCGACCUGCGGCGCCGCGUCGUCAUGCCGCUCUACGCGCACCGGGCCAUGGCCGUCGCCGUCGCCGAGAAGGAUGAGGCCGCGGGCGUGGCCGACACGGCCGCUGCCAGGGAGGAGAAGGUGGAGGAGGCGGAGGAGGAUGGGUGAGCGAAAUCCAUCACGGCAGCUCACCGCCCGCAACCGCAGAUCGAAUCAAUCAGCGCACGGUCUCUCCACCCGCCACGCCACCAAACUGCCGCGAUGCCGCUCGCCUCCGCCCGGCCGACGCCGUCGGAGCAGGGCCCGAGCGCCUCCCCCUCCUCCGCCCCGGCGGCGGACUCCUCCGUCGCGGCCCUCAUCGGCGGCGAGGUGGUGACGCCGAUGGUCGUGUUCGUCAACUCCAAGAGCGGCGGCCGACACGGGCCCGGGCUCAAGGUUCGGCUCCACGAGCUCAUCAGCAAGGAGCAGGUGACGACCUGCACGCUCCAAGUAGCUCGGUAGAUUUCAUACAUGCACCAAGUAGUUUACUAUGCAGAUAAUUUACUUUUUGAAGGAAAGGGAUUGCUCCACCUAUUUUCAUUAGGGAAACUAGCCAACUACAGAGACAGUAUAUCCUAUCUAGGUCUCUCUAUUUUCUUCUUACGUAGCUUUUAGUCUGUAUUUCCUUGAUAGAUGAAACUAUGGAGCGAAACAUGAGUUGUACUGUCAACUGAUGGCUGACUUCAGUUUGAAGUAGAUCAGGUGGCUGCCGCCACUUCCUGCACCUAAUCAACAUAAGAAAAACCAAAGCCCGAGGCAAGAAAGAGAAAGUGUGACGGUGAAGAAAUCAAGGAUCAUGCCCACUCAGGACAGUAGUGGAUAAUGCAGAGCUCUCAAACCUCAUUCACUGGAGAAAGAACUGUGUGGCCAGCGAUCCAUAAACAGCAGGACUUCAAUGUCAUCAUGAAAGACUUGGCAGAGAACAAGAUCAACCUUAUUCUAAGGACCCAGCUAACAAUAAAUGUAUGAUGAUAGCUUCAAAGAAUCACGGAUGCACGUAUGACUUAGCUGGGAAUAUACAUCUGCAUACCUCGCUUCUGUGUGUUACAUCUAGGUAUAGUUGCAUGUACAUUAAGAGUACAAGGUGCGUUGAUGACCAUCAAAUUCUAAGGACAAAUCCAAUGGUGGUGUGGACGUCCUUGUAGAUCAGCUCCGACUAUAAAGUUAGAAGAAGCUUUACUUCAUGUUGGAACAAAAUGGAAGUUCCCUGUGAUGUGAUGAUGUUUAUUAUGUUAUAGAUUGUAAGUUGAUGGUAUAUUGACUAUUGCUAGUUAUUAUAUGCCCUGUUAAUUUGCUAA